rnacentral:rRNA from 1 species
UACGGGGGGGGGCAAGCGUUGUUCGGAAUUACUGGGCGUAAAGGGCUCGUAGGCGGCCAACUAAGUCAUACGUGAAAUCCCUCGGCUUAACCGGGGAACUGCGUCUGAUACUGGAUGGCUUGAGAUUGGGAGAGGGAUGCGGAAUUCCAGGUGUAGCGGUGAAAUGCGUAGAUAUCGAGAGGAACACCUGCGGCGAAGGCGGGUAGCUGGGCCGACACUGACGCUGAUGCGCGAAAGCCAGGGGAGCGAACGGG